GAUGAACGCUGGCGGCGUGCCUAAUACAUGCAAGUCGAGCGAAGGAUGUAGCAAUACGUCUUUAGCGGCGAACGGGUGAGUAACGCGUUGGUGACCUGCCUCGAAGCGUGGGAUAACAGUUCGAAAGGAUUGCUAAUACCACAUGUGGUUGUGGAGAUUAGAGGCUCUGCAACUAAAGGAGAAAUUCACUUCGAGAGGGGCCUGCGUCCCAUCAGCUAGUUGGUAAGGUAACGGCUUACCAAGGCGAUGACGGGUAGGGGACCUGAGAGGGUGGCCCCCCACAAUAGGAACGUAGAACAACGGUCCGACUACACCUACCGGGUGGGCUG
rnacentral:rRNA from 1 species